UGGCCACUCAGGCUAUGGCUCCAGAUGCCUCUUAAGCAAUGGUCAGGAAGUGACUCAGGCCUCAGACUCUAUGACAGUGACCCCCAUCUCUGGCCUCCUCAGCCAUACCUGUGUUUACUCUGCAGUAAGACAGCCUUGGAGAGAUGUACCUUGGACGGUCCUGGCUGGGAAGUCAUGAAUGGAAGUGGAAGAGGUUGGGGUCACCGGGAACAUCCCUGGGGCUCUCUCCUCUUUGAGCUCCAAGGCCCCCCUGCUCUUCUGCUCCCAGACACUGGCACAAUGUCAUUGCCUUGGUUUCUGCCCUCUUACCAUCCAGGUGGGGGGUUAGGAAACCAAGCUGGGAAGGAGACCCUAAUUCCCGUCCUGCCUCUGAACUACUGGCCGUGUGAUCCUGGGCAAAAUACCUUCCCCUCUCUGAGUUCAGUGUCCUCCCAAUAAGAGGGACAUGAUAUUAAAGCAUGACAAGUGUAUACAUAUAUAUUGUCUUUUUAGGGCUACACCCUUGGCAUAUGGAAGUUCCCAGGCUAGGGGUCGAAUUGGAGCUGGAGCUGCAGCUGCCAGCCUACAUCACAGCCACAGCAACGCCAGAUCCUUAACCCACCGAGUGGGGCCUGGGAUGGAACCCGCGUCCUCAUGGAUACUAGUCGGUUCAUUAACGCUGAGCUACGACGGGAACUCCAGCAUGACAAGUAUAUUUGAAGAGUCCUGGGGCUGCGUUAUCCCCGGUGCAGACUACCAACAGCCCAGUGAGGCAGGGACUGUUGGUGCCUCCAGCCAAAGAGCCCCAGACACAGCUGUGGGUGAGCAAGCUGGGUUUGUCACUCUUGGCACCGAGGGAGAACAGGCAUGUGGGGAGACAUCUCAGGAAGAGGGUAUUGAAAGGACCUAGUGUAAGGUUUGCAAGGUUCGGUGAUUUGGUGGAAGGUAUAAGGAAGCUGGACUUUGUUGUGCAUUUAGUGGAGAUGAUUCUGUGAUUAGGUAUCUUAGUAAAUCUUGCCCGGAAGGAGGGCCAGCGAGAAUGGGGAGAGGGCAGCUGUCUUCACGCAGAGUAGCUUUCAGAUGGGGGUGUUUGGUCAUGCUUGUGGUUAGGACGAUAUUUGUGUUUUAUCUGUGCUCAGAUGUGAUUACAGAGUGUCUUGUUUUUGUCUUGAUCCAUUGUGGUCACAGAUGGCCUUGUCUGCGUUCAACAGAGCACAUCCAGAUAAACUGUGCCAGGCCAGCUUGAAGUGACGCCAAGGUCUGGCUGAUGGGAGGUCCCAGAUGUCAGGAUAGCCUUAUUCCAUGAGUACAGCUGGAGAAACUGAGGCCCAGAGGCAUUAAAUAAUUUGCCCAAGGUCGCAUGACCGAGAAGGUGGUGGAUGUGGUCUUGGAUCCUGGUGUCCUGCUCCAGAAUCUGCUCGUUUACCACCACCCAGACUGCCCGGUGCCCAGCAAGUACCCGAGAAGUGCCUGUUCUUGUAGAGCUGUCUUCCUAGCAAGCCUGAGCCUCUGCGGGGCAGGGGCAUAGGGUUUAGGAGCUUACUGACUGGCUUCUUAGAAACUGAGACAAAGCCCCAUGUGAUUAGGAGGCUGGCUGCCCAUGUCGCCAUCCUGGCCACCCAGGCGGCAUCUUGCCUCAGAGAUAUGGCAGCUCCUUGAACACUGAAGUCCUCUCUGUCCCAAAUGGCAGAGCCAGCAUUUCAAAUUCUUGCCAUGAUUGGCUGUGAGAUCUCUCCAAAAAGAGAGAUCCUGACCUGCCUGGGGUCCCACAGGCAUGAAACGGCAAGGGGGCCCCAAGCUCUGGCCCCAAUUCUGAGAGGUUCUCGUGCUGCUUAGGGGCUUUCAAAACUCCACAGAAAAUUUGAGCCGCAAGGAGGUGGGACGGUGCCAAGGGAAGCCCUGCUGCACGUGGGGGCUGCUCUGUAGCUUAAGUUAGUUAACCACAGACAAGUUAGCCUCUCUAAGUCUUAGUUUUCUCAUCUGUAAAAUGGGAGUAACAAUACCUACCCACCUCCUGGGGCCGUCAUGAGGACUAAAAGAGAUGACAGGAGAAGUGUCUAAUCAGGUGUCUGGCACAUAGUUCGUGCUUACCACUUGCUCCUUUCUCAGUGCUGCUUCACCCUCAGCCCAGCCCCUUUGCUGUGCAGACCCUGUCACAGAAGCAGCUCCCUAGUCGGCUCCAACUCACAUCUCCUUUAUCAAGUUUUCUGCCAAAUACCAAGCCCGAGGAUUCAUUCACCCAUUCAUUCACCAUUUACUGUGUGCCAGGGACAGACACAGGUGCUGGGGAUGUAGCAGAAACACAACAGUGAAAAAUCCCUGCCAUGUGGAGCUGACGUUCUAGUGGGGGAGGCAGAUGAGAAACCAAUGAACAAAUCGAUGGUACUGGGUUGAACCACAUGAAAUGGCUGAUAUUUGACAAUUUUAUAUGGUUCAACCAAAUGUAAGGGCAGUUAGUGUUAAGUGCCAGGAAGAAGUGAGUGCCAAGUGAGGACAUAAAGAAGGAUGGAGGGUCAGGGUGGCAGGGAUGCGACCUUGGGCAGCAGCCCAACGGGCAAUGGAGUGAGCCAUGCGGAUCUCUGGGGGAGGAGCCGGUGUCUGCCUUCCAGACUUUUCCACUCCGGUUCUCACAUCUGACCUGCGUUCAGCCUCAUUCCCCCUGUGCCACCCCUAUCCUAACAAUCUCUGCUAGGACCUCCAGCUCAGAACACCUGGGACAGCUUACUGGCCUCCAGCUUACUGGGCCAUCUUUCCCCAGUACCACUUCCCCGUUCAGGGGACUUAGGGCCUGAACAGAACAUCCAUCCCAAGAGCAGAUUAUCAGACACCUCUUUCUCACAGGCGCCCCUUAACUGUACCAGCUGUUCCCUCAGGCUCCCCGCCUCCACUGUGCUGCCCCGGCCUCACUCCCGCCCUCAGUGUUAGCUCCCCCUGGUGGAUGACAGGGGUAGAGACCACUCUGCUGGAGAGGCUGCUCCCCGCCACAAAGUGGGCUUCCCCUCCUCACACCCUAAAGCGCCGGCACCCUCAAGGCCCCCUCUAUUCCCCUCUAUUCUCCCCCUCUAUUCCCCCCCAAGACCCACCGCCCUUCACCCUACCUACAGGAUGGGCCCUCCUGUGCUUGACUCUUUGAAUACGGACCUGAGGUCUGUCUGGUGAUAUUCCAGGGACGUUGAGGUCUCUGCUUUGAGCUCUGCAUUGUCCUUUGUAGCCUUCAUCACACUUUUUUUUUCCCCCCACACCAGCAGUUUGUGGAAGUUUGUGACCCAGGGAUUGAGCCCAUACUACAGAUGUAGCCAGAGCUGCAGCAAUGACAAUGCUGGAUCUUUAACCUGCUGAGCCACCAGGGAACUCCCAUCACACUCUUAAUUAAUCUGCAUUGUCCUCUGUGAGGUGUCCGUCUCCACCACUUGUCUAUGAGGGCAAUGACAGUGUCUUGGUCACUGCUGAGCCCUUGUGACCAUGCUGGCCCCCCUAGGUACUCAGUAAAUAAUGAAUGAAUGAAUGAAUGAACCAAAGAUUUUUGGGUUUCUUGUGUGUACAAGAGGCAGUGAAAGGAUAUGGUUUGAGACCUGGGUGGUGGAGCUGAGGGGGCAUCAGUAGAGGGGCGUCCUUGGAAUCCAUGCACUGUGGGGCGUCUGGGUGUGUAGUCGCUGUCAGCUGGGCCCCAUCUGUCCUCGAAGUCUAGCUUUCACUGUUCUCUCCUUGUCCCCUGAGGCAAAUGUGUUAUGCUGUGUGUGCAGUGGUAAAAAGACUCUUAAAACCCGGGUGUGCAAACUGAACUUGGGGACUUCCUCUGUCCCCAAGAAUUUGCAUCAAACUUUAUUCCAAAGCAGCACCUUCCCUGUUUCUAGCCCUCACUGCUCCCAUUGAGCUUCUAAGUAAGCCAGACCCUCCACCCUCUGGAAUUGCCCUUCCCUCCUGGUCUUUAAAGUUAGACUGUGAACUCAUCUCUUCACUCCUGAGUGAACUGCAUACCCACCCACCCCAAGACCCCACUCACCCUGUACACACCCUCCCGAACCCAUGACCCUGGCUGCCCCUUGCCACGUACCCCAGGCUUCAUGACACCCACAUUCUUGGGUGAACUUGUACUCUUCUGAGCCAGUGGAGAGUAGCUGGGGACUGGGAGGCAUAGCUGGAUUUGAAUCUCAUGCCAACACAAAGAUCUGUGUGACCUUGAGCAGGUGAAUGCUUGUCUCUGAGCCUCCUCCUCAGUACAAUGGGAGAGCAACACCCACCUGACAGAGGAAUUUUUUUUUUUUUUUCAGGUUUGCAGGCAUGGCAUAUGGACGUUUCCAGGCUAGGGGUUGAAUCAGAGCUGCAGCUGCCGGCCCAAGCCACAGCCACAGCCACACCAGAUCCAAGCCAAGUCUGCAACCUACACCACAGCUCACAACAAUGCCAGAUCCUUAACCCACUGAGCGAGGCCAGGGAUCAAACCCACGUCCUCAUGGAUGCUAGUUGAGCUCGUUACUGCUGAGCCACGAGAGGAACUUCCCUCCUUUCCCACUUUCCUUCAAGCCCUUAUACAUCCCUUAUGUAUAUCAUGUCUAUGAAGGGAGGCGUUUUGUUUGUUUUGUUUGUUGCUGAAUCUCAAGUUCCUGGCAUACACUGGCUAAAUGGCAGGUACACAGUAGGGGCUUUAGAAAUGGGAGCUACUGUGAUUACCAAACUUUUUUUUUUUGGUCUUUUUGUCUUUUUAGGGCCGUACCCGCGGCAUAUGGAGGUUCCCAGGCUAGGAGUCCAGUCGGAGCUGCGUCUGCCGGCCUACACGACAGCUCACGGAAAUGCUGGAUCCUUUACCCACUGAGCAAGGCUAGGGUUCGAACCUGUGUCCUCAUGCAUGCUAGUCAGGUUUGUUAACUGCUGAACCAUGAUGGGAACUCUGACAUUUGUUUUUUGUUUUGUCUUUAAGGGCUGCUCCCAUGGCAUAUGGAGGUUUCCAAAUUAGGGGUCAAAUCGGAGCUGCCAACCUACACCACAACCACAGCAAUGCAGGAUCUGAGCCACCAAUACCACAGCUCAAGGCAACGUCAGAUCCUUAACCCACUCAGGGAUCAAACCUGAGUCUUCAUGGAUAUUAGUCAGGUUCAUUACUGCUGAGCCAUGAUGGGAACUCCUAUCUUAUUUGUUUGCACGUUCAUGCCUGGGGCAGCCCUGGCUCCAAUGACCUGCCAAACUGCGGUAACAGGGCCACUGUGAUUCCUGGGCUGCUGUGUGACCUGCUCCAGGCAGAGGAGGCCGAGCACCAGAGGACACCUCAGAAGCCUGCCUUCUAGGCCAGAGGUCACUCCAUAGGCCUGUUCCACCACUGCUGUAUAAACAGCCAGGACAA
rnacentral:lncRNA from 1 species